GUGCCAGCAGCCGCGGUAAUACGGAGGGUGCGAGCGUUAUCCGGAAUUACUGGGUUUAAAGGGUGCGUAGGCGGCUAUGUAAGUCAGGAGUGAAAGUUUGCGGCUCAACCGUAAAAUUGCUUUUGAUACUGCAUGGCUGGAAUUAGGAUGAGGUCAGCGGAAUGUGGCAUGUAGCGGUGAAAUGCAUAGAUAUGCCAUAGAACACCAAUUGCGAAGGCAGCUGGCUAGACCUGGAUUGACGCUGAGGCACGAAAGCGUGGGGAGCGAACAGGAGGAUAAACCAGCGGAUUAC
rnacentral:rRNA from 1 species